GAGGUAAUAGUAUAAAUAAGUAUAUUUCUUUUUCGCAGAAGUGGUUUUCUAUCUUA
rnacentral:tRNA from 1 species